GACGAACGCUGGCGGCGUGCUUAACACAUGCAAGUCGAACGGAAAGGCCCUGCUUUUGUGGGGUGCACGAUAGGCGCACAGGGGAGUAACACGUGAGUAACAUGCACUUGUCUUUGGGGUAACUUCAGGAAAAUGGGGCUAAUACCGGGUAGGAACUCCUGAUGCCAGGGGUGGGUUGGAAAAGAUCGGUGGUCGGGGACGGACCCGCGGCUUAGCGGCGUGUUGGUGGGGUGGCGGCUUACCAAGGUAACGAUGGGUAGCCGGCCUGACAAGGUGAUCGGCCACACUGGAACUGAGACACGGUCCAGACUCCUACGGGCGGCAGCAGUGGGGACCCUUCCGCAAUGGGCGCAAGCCUGACGGAGCACCGCCGCGUGAGUGAUGAAGGUCUUCGGAUCGGAAAACUCUGUUAUUAGGGAAGAACAAAUGUGUAAGUAACUAUGCACGUCUUGACGGUACCUAAUCAGAAAGCCACGGCUAACUACGUG
rnacentral:rRNA from 1 species